rfam:Lupinus angustifolius cultivar Tanjil chromosome LG18, whole genome shotgun sequence.
GUUUAAUUCGAUGCAAAGCGAAGAACCUUACCAGGGCUUGACAUGCCGCGAAUCCUCUUGAAAGAGAGGGGUGCCUUCGGGAACGCGGACACAGGUGGUGCAUGGCUGUCAUCAGCUCGUGCCGUAAGGUGUUGGGUUAAGUCCCGCAACGAGCGCAACCCUCGUGUUUAGUUGCCAACGUUGAGUUUGGAACCCUAAUCAUUUAAUCACAUAUUGUUAUAUGCUGGUUAAUCGAUUAACGUGGAGUCUUAAUCGAUUAACGUGUCUGUUUUC